rnacentral:rRNA from 1 species
GUUACCAAACUGUUGCCUCGGCGGGGUCACGCCCCGGGUGCGUCGCAGCCCCGGAACCAGGCGCCCGCCGGAGGAACCAACCAAACUCUUUCUGUAGUCCCCUCGCGGACGUAUUUCUUACAGCUCUGAGCAAAAAUUCAAAAUGAAUCAAAACUUUCAACAACGGAUCUCUUGGUUCUGGCAUCGAUGAAGAACGCAGCGAAAUGCGAUAAGUAAUGUGAAUUGCAGAAUUCAGUGAAUCAUCGAAUCUUUGAACGCACAUUGCGCCCGCCAGUAUUCUGGCGGGCAUGCCUGUCCGAGCGUCAUUUCAACCCUCGAACCCCUCCGGGGGAUCGGCGUUGGGGAUCGGGACCCCUCACACGGGUGCCGGCCCCUAAAUACAGUGGCGGUCUCGCCGCAGCCUCUCCUGCGCAGUAGUUUGCACAACUCGCACCGGGAGCGCGGCGCGUCCACGUCCGUAAAACACCCAACUUUCUGAAAUGUUGACCUCGGAUCAGGUAGGAAUACCCGCUGAACUUAAGCAUAUCAAUAAGCGGAGGAA